rnacentral:rRNA from 1 species
UACGAAGGGGGCUAGCGUUGCUCGGAAUCACUGGGCGUAAAGGGUGCGUAGGCGGGGUUUUAAGUCAGGGGUGAAAUCCUGGAGCUCAACUCCAGAACUGCCUUUGAUACUGAGGGCCUUGAGACCGGAAGAGGUCGGCGGAACUGCGAGUGUAGAGGUGAAAUUCGUAGAUAUUCGCAAGAACACCAGUGGCGAAGGCGGCCGACUGGUCCGGUUCUGACGCUGAGGCGCGAAAGCGUGGGGAGCAAACAGG